rnacentral:rRNA from 1 species
GACGAACGCUGGCGGCGUGCCUAAUACAUGCAAGUAGAACGCUGAAGGAGGAGCUUGCUCUUCUGGAUGAGUUGCGAACGGGUGAGUAACGCGUAAGUAACCUGCCUGGUAGCGGGGGAUAACUAUUGGAAACGAUAGCUAAUACCGCAUAACAGUAGAUGUUGCAUGACAUUUGCUUAAAAGGUGCAAUUGCACCACUACCAGAUGGACCUGCGUUGUAUUAGCUAGUUGGUGGGGUAACGGCUCACCAAGGCGACGAUACAUAGCCGACCUGAGAGGGUGAUCGGCCACACUGGGACUGAGACACGGCCCAGACUCCUACGGGAGGCAGCAGUAGGGAAUCUUCGGCAAUGGACGGAAGUCUGACCGAGCAACGCCGCGUGAGUGAAGAAGGUGUUCGGAUCGUAAAGCUCUGUUGUAAGAGAAGAACGAGUGUGAGAGUGGAAAGUUCACACUGUGACGGUAUCUUACCAGAAAGGGACGGCUAACUACGU